GAUGAACGCUGGCGGCGUGCCUAAUACAUGCAAGUCGAACGAACGGACGAGAAGCUUGCUUCUCUGAUGUUAGCGGCGGACGGGUGAGUAACACGUGGAUAACCUACCUAUUAGACUGGGAUAACUUCGGGAAACCGGAGCUAAUACCGGAUAAUAUUUUGAACCGCAUGAUUCAAGAGUGAAAGACGCUCUUGCUGUAACUUAUAGAUGAAUCCGGUCUGCAUUAGCUAGUUGGUAAGGUAACGGCCUACCAAGGCAACGAUGCAUAGCCGACCUGAGAGGGUGAUCGGCCACACUGGAACUGAGAAACGGUCCAGACUCCUACGGGAGGCAGCAGUAGGGAAUCUUCCGCAAUGGGCGAAAGCCUGACGGAGCAACGCCGCGUGAGUGAUGAAGGUCUUCGGAUCGUAAACCUCUGUUAUUAGGGAAGAACAUAUGUGUAAGUAACUGUGCACAUCUUGACGGUACCUAAUCAGAAAGCCACGGCUAACUACGUG
rnacentral:rRNA from 1 species